rnacentral:rRNA from 1 species
AACGAACGCUGGCGGCAUGCCUAACACAUGCAAGUCGAACGAGAUCUUCGGGUCUAGCGGCGCACGGGUGCGUAACGCGUGGGAAUCUGCCCUUUGGUUCGGAAUAACAGUUGGAAACGACUGCUAAUACCGGAUGAUGACGAAAGUCCAAAGAUUUAUCGCCAGAGGAUGAGCCCGCGUAGGAUUAGCUAGUUGGUGUGGUAAAGGCGCACCAAGGCGACGAUCCUUAGCUGGUCUGAGAGGAUGAUCAGCCACACUGGGACUGAGACACGGCCCAGACUCCUACGGGAGGCAGCAGUGGGGAAUAUUGGACAAUGGGCGAAAGCCUGAUCCAGCAAUGCCGCGUGAGUGGUGAAGGCCUUAGGGUUGUAAAGCUCUUUUACCCGGGAUGAUAAUGACAGUACCGGGAGAAUAGCUCCGGCUAACUCCGUGCCAGCCGCCGCGGUAA